GUCAGGCUCAGUCCCCUCCCGAUAAACCCCUAAAUAGGGACUUUCCCGGGGGGUGACCCUGGC
rnacentral:pre_miRNA from 2 species